GAUGAACGCUGGCGGCGUGCCUAAUACAUGCAAGUCGAGCGAACAGACGAGGAGCUUGCUCCUCUGACGUUAGCGGCGGACGGGUGAGUAACACGUGGAUAACCUACCUAUAAGACUGGGAUAACUUCGGGAAACCGGAGCUAAUACCGGAUAAUAUAUUGAACCGCAUGGUUCAAUAGUGAAAGACGGUUUUGCUGUCACUUAUAGAUGAAUCCGCGCCGCAUUAGCUAGUUGGUAAGGUAACGGCUUACCAAGGCAACGAUGCGUAGCCGACCUGAGAGGGUGAUCGGCCACACUGGAACUGAGACACGGUCCAGACUCCUACGGGAGGCAGCAGUAGGGAAUCUUCCUCAAUGGGCGAAAGCCUGACGGAGCAACGCCGCGUGAGUGAUGAAGGUCUUCGGAUCGUAAAACUCUGUUAUUAGGGAAGAACAAAUGUGUAAGUAACUAUGCACGUCUUGACGGUACCUAAUCAGAAAGCCACGGCUAACUACGUG
rnacentral:rRNA from 1 species